CCCCACACCUGCCUCCACCACCCCCGGCGGCGGCUUGCGGCGGCGCUGGAGGGACACGACGGCCCGGCGAGGAGCUACCGACCUCCUGGCAGAGCUUGGUAUUUUUCAUGCACCUCAGCUGCGCAGCAAGCGAGAUCCAGGGCAGGGGUAGCCACCUGCUGACGAUGGCGGCGCCCAAAAGCAUGGAGGACAUGCCGCUGCACUGCGCCGCUAGGGCCGGGGAACACUCUGAUGGUCAUCCGCCUCAUGGAGCUCUCGUAUCUGCUCCUCUAUGACAUAUCUCUGUGACAUCUAUGACAUAUGGUCAUAGUUUUCUUUUGUUCCAAUUAGAUUUGAAAUUUAAAAUUUUCAUCCUCAGAUGUUAUGUCUCUUUCUAUGCAUGUAUGUACAUAUCUCUAUGACAUAUUCGAUAUCUGAUUCUAUGCUACCAUAUAAAUUAUUCUAUGAUAUAAACAUUCAAAUUUCAAACUUCAGAGGAAAA